rnacentral:sRNA from 1 species
GGUAACCAGUUACUUUCUGGUUGGAUUUAAGGCCUUUUCUCCAGGGGAGAAAUCAUGCCUGCUACUGUGAACCUGGUCGCAAGCCCAUGGCUGGGCACUCAGAGUUCUUAGUGGGCUACUGCUGGGUUUUUUGCUCAGUAGAGUAACUCUUUUCUUGUUUUCAUUGUUGGGAAGCACACACGGUUUCAAAGUUCCAUCACUUGGCCACACAACUAGGGGGUGGGGUUGCUGUCUAGCUAAGGUGCAGGGGUGAUGCCCUCUCCCCUGCUGAAGCUCAGAUGGCCUCCUCGGGGAAGGAGUGCAGCUAGAAAGAAAACUCGGGUCUCCUUACUGGCACUGUGGAACACCUCCCAAGACCACACUUCCUCCCUGGUUUUCAAGGAUUCAUCAGAGCAAGAGGGUGCUGUCCGGAUGGGUCCCUCCACAAGCUCCAGUCAGAGAUGACUCCAUUCAGGUAAGAGCUCUGGUUCUGGACCAAGUGAUGCUUGCGUCUUCUCCUGGAGGGUGGGGUGUGCAGUUACUCCUGUUGCCUUCGGAGAUGGCUGAUGAUGCUACGCCAUGAAGCCUGCUGCAAUGAGGCGACGGCAGUAAAACGUGGGUGAAGGAUAAACAAGAAGUGAGUAGGUCAGGAUAGCCUUUCUGGAGCUCCUACAACUCCCGUUUGGCUUAUGCACCAUUUAGACUUAAGGGAGAAGAGAAAUAAAUCACCUUUUCUUUCCUGAUGUUGAGGGUACAUUUUUUUUCCUUUUGGUUUCCUUUUAUAUACCUGUGGUAUCGGGGGCAACUCACCAGCCAAUAGGACAAUGACCAGGCUCCAUCUCGGGCUUCCAGGUCACAGAACCCAGGGCAUCUACCUGCCAUGUUCUUUCCCACCUGGCACAUGUCCAUGUAUCUGCAGCCAGGGAAGCCGUUGGCUCUAGCACAAUCACUGGAACAGCAAGCCUGGCACAAGCCUCCGUCUCUGUGUGGCCUGGGUUUGUUGUGACAGUUACCCAUUCAAGUGGAGUCAGAUUAAAAUGACCAAAGGGUCCACUGUACCCUAGGCUCCCAAGGGAGUUCGAAAUGGCCUAAGAAGUGACUGAGAAGGACCUUUGAGGAGAGAGUAGUUUGCCUCCCCAGAGUUGAGGGGAGUCAGACAGAGCCUCUGCCCCCCAACCCCACGCUCCCAGCUGCACACCUGCACCCUUUAUUGUGGGGAUGCCACAUAGGGCAGCUCUCUACCCUACAACACCCCAAACCUUUGUGCUUGUUGGAGCAGAGGAAGGGAGCACAGAGAGGCAGACACACCCAUCUCAGUUCCCAGCCCCCAGCAAGUGUCUGGGCCAUCUCAGGCUCGCUCUGUCCUCUCUGCCUUUUCUGUCCCACUGUCCUGUCACCUCCAAAGCUGCUUGGGUACAGCUUAACCCAGAUCAGCACCCACACACGUCAUUAGUGCACAGCAAGAAUCAACAUCAAGCAAGGACCAUGUUUAAAAUACAGGCAGAUCGGGGUUUGAUCCUUAUUAUCUGAGAGCUCAGGCUUGCUUUGGACUUUUUUGAGGAUCAAAUGUAUCCCAGGUUGGCCCUGAACUAGGAUGGCAGGCUUACAGGCUUAGACCAACCACGGCCGGUUUAGAGAGAGAUCCUUCUUUUCUCUUCUCUUCUCUUCUCUUCUCUUCUCUUCUCUUCUCUUCUCUUCUCUUCUCUUCUUUUCUCAUUUUUCCUCAUCUCUUCUUUUCUUUUUCUUCUCUGCGUUGUACCUACAGCUUCAUAUAGCAAGUUCUCGACCUCUUAGUUGUAUCCUUAACUUCAGAAAACUUUAAAAAUUGAUCUUGACAAAUAUAAUAUGAUUCUACUUAUAGAAGGUACCCAGAGGUCAAAUUGAUGGAAACAAACAAACAAAAAAUACAGCAGAGAUCAGAACCCCAGUCAGUGUUUGAUGAGUUUGAGUUUAUAGUUUAGGGAGUUGCAAAC